AACGAACGCUGGCGGCAUGCCUAACACAUGCAAGUCGAACGAUGCUUUCGGGCAUAGUGGCGCACGGGUGCGUAACGCGUGGGAAUCUGCCCUUGGGUUCGGAAUAACAGUGAGAAAUUGCUGCUAAUACCGGAUGAUGUCUUCGGACCAAAGAUUUAUCGCCCAGGGAUGAGCCCGCGUAGGAUUAGCUAGUUGGUGGGGUAAUGGCCUACCAAGGCGACGAUCCUUAGCUGGUCUGAGAGGAUGAUCAGCCACACUGGGACUGAGACACGGCCCAGACUCCUACGGGAGGCAGCAGUGGGGAAUAUUGGACAAUGGGCGCAAGCCUGAUCCAGCAAUGCCGCGUGAGUGAUGAAGGCCUUAGGGUUGUAAAGCUCUUUUACCCGGGAUGAUAAUGACAGUACCGGGGGAAUAAGCUCCGGCUAACUCCGUG
rnacentral:rRNA from 1 species